GUUGUAUGGUUAAGUGACUAAGCGUACACGGUGGAUGCCUUGGCAGUUGGAGGCGAUGAAGGACGUACUAACUUGCGAUAAGCCUAGUCAAGCCAGUAAGAGGCGCUUGAGACUAGGAUUUCCGAAUGGGGAAACCCACCUGCUUGCAGGUAUCGUUAACUGAAUACAUAGGUUAGCGAGGCGAACGCGGAGAACUGAAACAUCUAAGUACCCGUAGGAAAAGAAAUCAACCGAGAUUCCGAAAGUAGCGGCGAGCGAAAUCGGACCAGCCCUUAAGCUUUAGUGUAGUUAGUGGAACAUGCUGGAAAGCAUGACGAAACAGGGUGAUAGUCCCGUACACAAAAACUUAUCUAAAGUGAAAUCGAGUAGGUCGGAGCACGUGAAACUUUGACUGAAUAUGGGGGGACCAUCCUCCAAGGCUAAAUACUCCCAACUGACCGAUAGUGAACCAGUACCGUGAGGGAAAGGCGAAAAGAACCCCUGUGAGGGGAGUGAAAUAGAACCUGAAACCGUGUACGUACAAGCAGUAGGAGCCUACUUGUUGGGUGACUGCGUACCUUUUGUAUAAUGGGUCAGCGACUUAUAUUCUGUAGCGAGGUUAACCAUUUAGGGGAGCCGUAGCGAAAGCGAGUCUUAACUGGGCGCUUAAGUUGCAGGGUAUAGACCCGAAACCCGGUGAUCUAGCCAUGGGCAGGUUGAAGGUUGAGUAACAUCAACUGGAGGACCGAACCCACUAACGUUGAAAAGUUAGGGGAUGACCUGUGGCUAGGAGUGAAAGGCUAAUCAAACCGGGAGAUAGCUGGUUCUCCCCGAAAUCUAUUUAGGUAGAGCCUCGGACGAAUACUUACGGGGGUAGAGCACUGUUAAGGCUAGGGGGUCAUCCCGACUUACCAACCCUUUGCAAACUCCGAAUACCGUAAAGUAAUAUCCGGGAGACACACGGCGGGUGCUAACGUCCGUCGUGGAGAGGGAAACAACCCAGACCGUCAGCUAAGGUCCCAAAGUGUAUGUUAAGUGGGAAACGAUGUGGGAAGGCUAAAACAGCUAGGAGGUUGGCUUAGAAGCAGCCACCCUUUAAAGAAAGCGUAAUAGCUCACUAGUCGAGUCGGCCUGCGCGGAAGAUGUAACGGGGCUAAACAUACCACCGAAGCUACGGCUGCGUACGUAAGUAUGCGGGGUAGGGGAGCGUUCUGUAAGUGGCUGAAGGUGUGCCGGGAGGCAUGCUGGACAUAUCAGAAGUGCGAAUGCUGACAUGAGUAACGACAAGAGGAGUGAAAAACUCCUCCGCCGGAAGACCAAGGGUUCCUAUCCCAUGUUAAUCAGGGUAGGGUGAGUCGACCCCUAAGGCGAGGCUGAAGAGCGUAGUCGAUGGGAAACGGGUUAAUAUUCCCGUACUCGGUAUGAAUGCGAUGGGGGGACGGAGCAGGCUAGGCAAGCAUGGCGUUGGUUGUCCAUGUGAAAGGCUGUAGGCUGGUGACUUAGGAAAAUCCGGGUUGCUAAGGCUGAGAGUCGAGACGAGCCACUAAGGUGGUGAAGUUGUUGAUGCCCUACUUCCAGGAAAAGCCUCUAAGCUUCAGUUCAUACUGAAUCGUACCCUAAACCGACACAGGUGGUCAGGUAGAGAAUACUAAGGCGCUUGAGAGAACUCGGGUGAAGGAACUAGGCAAAAUUGUACCGUAACUUCGGGAGAAGGUACGCUCUUGUUUGUGAAGGACUUGCUCUGUAAGCAAACGAGAGCCGCAGUGACCAGGUGGCUGGGACUGUUUAUUAAAAACACAGCACUGUGCAAAAUCGUAAGAUGACGUAUACGGUGUGACACCUGCCCGGUGCCGGAAGGUUAAUUGAUGGGGUUAGCUUAGGCGAAGCUCUUGAUCGAAGCCCCGGUAAACGGCGGCCGUAACUAUAACGGUCCUAAGGUAGCGAAAUUCCUUGUCGGGUAAGUUCCGACCUGCACGAAUGGUGUAACCAUGGCCACGCUGUCUCCACCCGAGACUCAGUGAAAUUGAAAUCGCAGUGAAGAUGCUGUGUACCCGCGGCUAGACGGAAAGACCCCGUGAACCUUUACUACAGCUUGGCACUGAACAUUGACCCUACAUGUGUAGGAUAGGUGGGAGGCUUUGAAGCAGAGACGCUAGUUUCUGUGGAGCCGACCUUGAAAUACCACCCUUGUAGUGUUGAUGUUCUAACUUAGGCCCCUGAAUCGGGGUUGAGGACAGUGCCUGGUGGGUAGUUUGACUGGGGCGGUCUCCUCCCAAAGAGUAACGGAGGAGCACGAAGGUUUGCUAAGUACGGUCGGACAUCGUACGGUUAGUGUAAUGGUAGAAGCAAGCUUAACUGCGAGACAGACACGUCGAGCAGGUACGAAAGUAGGUCAUAGUGAUCCGGUGGUUCUGAAUGGAAGGGCCAUCGCUCAACGGAUAAAAGGUACUCCGGGGAUAACAGGCUGAUACCGCCCAAGAGUUCAUAUCGACGGCGGUGUUUGGCACCUCGAUGUCGGCUCAUCACAUCCUGGGGCUGAAGUCGGUCCCAAGGGUAUGGCUGUUCGCCAUUUAAAGUGGUACGCGAGCUGGGUUUAGAACGUCGUGAGACAGUUCGGUCCCUAUCUGCCGUGGGCGUUUGAGAAUUGAGAGGGGCUGCUCCUAGUACGAGAGGACCGGAGUGGACGAACCGCUGGUGUUCGGGUUGUGAUGCCAAUUGCAUUGCCCGGUAGCUACGUUCGGAACUGAUAACCGCUGAAAGCAUCUAAGCGGGAAGCAGGCCUCGAGAUGAGUUCUCACUUUGACUUAGAGUCAACUGAAGGGCCGUUGAAGACUACAACGUUGAUAGGCGAGAUGUGGAAGUGCUGUGAGGCAUUAAGCUAACUCGUACUAAUUACCCGUGAGGCUUAACCAUACAACGCCAAAGUGGUUU
rnacentral:rRNA from 1 species